AUGAACGCUGGCGGCGUGCCUAAUACAUGCAAGUCGAGCGAACAGACGAGGAGCUUGCUCCUCUGACGUUAGCGGCGGACGGGUGAGUAACACGUGGAUAACCUACCUAUAAGACUGGGAUAACUUCGGGAAACCGGAGCUAAUACCGGAUAAUAUAUUGAACCGCAUGGUUCAAUAGUGAAAGACGGUUUUGCUGUCACUUAUAGAUGGAUCCGCGCCGCAUUAGCUAGUUGGUAAGGUAACGGCUUACCAAGGCAACGAUGCGUAGCCGACCUGAGAGGGUGAUCGGCAACACUGGAACUGAGACACGGUCCAGACUCCUACGGGAGGCAGCAGUAGGGAAUCUUCCGCAAUGGGCGAAAGCCUGACGGAGCAACGCCGCGUGAGUGAUGAAGGUCUUCGGAUCGUAAAACUCUGUUAUUAGGGAAGAACAAAUGUGUAAGUAACUAUGCACGUCUUGACGGUACCUAAUCAGAAAGCCACGGCUAACUACGUG
rnacentral:rRNA from 1 species